UCGCUAACGCGCUCGGUAUCGUCACCCUGUUGAUACAAUAACAAAUAAUAAGUAUUAGUAAACAUAAAUAACAAUUAAAGAAAACAGACAAAUUAUAAUGAACAAGCGGAAUAUACAACUUAAAAUAAAUAAGAUACCUCAGUAGGCUCGAGCUGACGCAACAGUGGGCCAAAAGCCUCCAAGAAUAGGGUAAUCACUAUCCGUAUAAUCUCGUCGUGUAUAGCUACGAACUGCUCCGGUGAGAUACUCGUACUCUCGACAGUAACCCUAGUUGCGAUGUCCUGCACAAGCACGGGAAUCGUAUCGGUACCGAGGACCUCCGUCACCCGCAUCAUAACCACUUUAGAAGUGUUCUAUACUUGUACCAAUUAACAUGAGCCAUCAAGUACCUUUUAAUGCAAAUUAUUACUAUUUAAAAGACUAUUAAUCUCCUAUCAUGAAAUAAAAUAAUCUCAAAUAAUGUUAAAUACUUUAUA
rnacentral:lncRNA from 1 species